rnacentral:misc_RNA from 1 species
UGGAUGUUGCAGUGUUACAACUGCUCAUCUUAAAUACUUGAGUGUACCCUGCUUUGCAGCGUAUUCGGUGUGAUAACAUCUUCACCGGAGUCAGUCGCAAGACACGUUUGCUAGGUUAUGGCUCUAUGCUUCAAACCGUCUGAAAGGACAAUCUCUGACAAUUUGACCUCAAAUCGGGUGGGACUACCCGCUGAACUUAA